rnacentral:rRNA from 1 species
UCCAGACUCCUACGGGAGGCAGCAGUGGGGGAUAUUGGACAAUGGGGGGAACCCUGAUCCAGCGACGCCGCGUGAGUGAAGAAGUAUUUCGGUAUGUAAAGCUCUGUCAGCAGGGAAGAAAGAAAUGACGGUACCUGACCAAGAAGCCCCGGCUAACUACGUGCCAGCAGCCGCGGUAAUACGUAGGGGGCAAGCGUUAUCCGGAAUUACUGGGUGUAAAGGGAGCGUAGACGGUUAAGUAAGUCUGGAGUGAAAGGCCGGGGCCCAACCCCGGGACUGCUCUGGAAACUGUGGUGCUGGAGUGCUGGAGAGGCAAGCGGAAUUCCUAGUGUAGCGGUGAAAUGCGUAGAUAUUAGGAAGAACACCAGUGGCGAAGGCGGCUUGCUGGACAGUAACUGACGUUGAGGCUCGAAAGCGUGGGGAGCAAACAGGAUUAGAUACCCCAGUA